rnacentral:rRNA from 1 species
UACGUAGGCAGCAAGCGUUGUUCGGAAUUACUGGGCGUAAAGAGUGUGUAGGCGGUGCUCUAAGUUUGGUGUGAAAUCUCCCGGCUCAACUGGGAGGGUGCGCCGAAAAACUGGAAUGCUUGAACAUGGGAGAGGAAAGCGGAAUUCCUGGUGUAGCGGUGAAAUGCGUAGAUAUCAGGAGGAACACCUGCGGUGUAGACGGCUUUCUGGACCAUUGUUGACGCUGAGACACGAAAGCGUGGGUAGCAAACAGG